rnacentral:rRNA from 1 species
CAAUAGCGUAUAUUAAAGUUGUUGCAGUUAAAAAGCUCGUAGUUGGAUUUGUGGCGUACGGUGUGUUCCGGGCACUUGUUGUCUGAGUAACCUGCUGUUGCCAUCCUUGGGUGGAACCUGUGUGGCAUUAGGUUGUCGUGCAGGGGAUGCCCAUCAUUUACUGUGAAAAAAUUAGAGUGUUCAAAGCAGGCUUAUGCCGUUGAAUAUAUUAGCAUGGAAUAAUGAGAUAGGACUUUUUUGCUAUUUUGUUGGCUUGCGCAAGAAGGUAAUGAUUAAUAGGGACAGUUGGGGGUAUUCGUAUUCCAUUGUCAGAGGUGAAAUUCUUGGAUUUUUGGAAGACGAACUACUGCGAAAGCAUUUACCAAGGAUGUUUUCAUUAA